UCCCCCGUGAGGGGGCAGUCUCGCCUGACACUUAUAACAGGCAACGAGGGUUGCGUUCGUUUCCCCACUUAAGGGAACAACUCAAGCCACGAACUGACGACGACCAUGCAUCACCUGCCAUACACCCUCGAAGGCUUCCCUGCUUUCACAGGGCGUGCAGUAUGGUUUCUAGCCUUGGUAAGGUUCCUCGCUUAGCGACGAAUUAAGCCUCAUGAUCCACCGCUUGUGCGAGCCCCCGUCUAUUCCUUUGAGUUUUAACCUUGCGGUCGUAGUUCCCAGGCGGCCCGCUUAACGCGUUAGCUUCGCCACAGAGAGGGUCGAUACUCCCUAUAGCUAGCGGGCAACGUUUAGGGCGUGGACUAC
rnacentral:misc_RNA from 1 species